rnacentral:rRNA from 1 species
CAGACUUGACAUCCUGUGAACCCCUCAGAGACGGGGGGGUGCCUUCGGGAGCACAGAGACAGGUGCUGCAUGGCUGUCGUCAGCUCGUGUCGUGAGAUGUUCGGUUAAGUCCGGCAACGAGCGCAACCCUUGUCUUCAGUUGCCAGCACGUAAAGGUGGGAACUCUGAAGAGACUGCCCCGGUUAACGGGGAGGAAGGUGGGGAUGACGUCAAGUCCUCAUGGCCCUUAUGUCUGGGGCUACACACGUGCUACAAUGGUAUGUACAAAGGGCAGCAAGCAUGCGAGUGCAAGCCAAUCCCUUAAAGCAUAUCCCAGUCCGGAUUGGAGUCUGCAACUCGACUCCAUGAAGUUGGAAUCGCUAGUAAUCGUGGAUCAGCAUGCCACGGUGAAUACGUUCCCGGGCCU